rnacentral:rRNA from 1 species
UUAGCUUAUUCCUCUGUAUCUCACAUGGGUUUCAUAAUUAUAGGAAUUGGUUCCAUAACCAACAUUGGACUCAAUGGAGCUAUUUUACAAAUAUUAUCCCAUGGAUUUAUUGGUGCUACACUUUUUUUCUUGGUAGGAACCGCUUCUGAUAGAAUGCGUCUUGUUUAUCUCGAAGAACUGGGGGGAAUAUCUAUCCCAAUGCCUAAAAAUUUUACCAUGUUUAGUAGCUUUUCAAUGGCUUCUCUUGCCUUACCAGGAAUGAGUGGUUUUGUCGCAGAAUUAGUAGUAUUUUUUGGACUAAUUACUAGUCCAAAAUUUCUGUUAAUGCCAAAAACACUAAUUACUUUUGUAAUGGCAUUUGGAAUGAUAUUAACUCCUAUUUAUUUAUUAUCUAUGUUACACCAGAUGGUCUAUGGAUACAAGCUAUUUAAUGUUCCAAACACAAAUUUUGUGGAUUUUGGACCACGAGAACUCUUUAUUUUAAUCUGUAUCUUUUUACCAGUAAUAGGAAUUGGUAUUUAUCCAGCUUUUGUUCUCUCCCUAUCCGUUGACAGGGUAUAUAAUAUGUACAUUAUGCAGUAG